AUGGCCACGAGGAAAUAUUUUCGCAGAUCAAUUCAGGAAAGAAACCGUAUACUCGAGAAAUAUGACCAGCUCCCUCCAAUGUCCCAAAGAGCUGCAGCGCGUCUGCUAAACAUCUCAGGCCCGCUGCUUUGCAUCUGGCUCCGGAGAAGGAAUAUUAAAAAUGCCAAGGCUAACCUUCCCAGGACUGUCUUUCCAUCUCGCAAGACGCCUCGAGUAACGUUAGAAGCGGCACUCUGGAGGUGGAUCGAUACUUCUCAUGAGAACGGAAUUACAGUAGAUGAUUCAACGAUUCGUAAAAAAGCGACUCUGAUAGCUACAGAAAUGGGCCUCUGUAAUUUCAUGGCGAGCACAGAGUGGUUGGCACGCUUCAAAACACGGGAGACAGUGAUACGAAAGAUGUUCCAGGUCGACCGAAAAACGGUAAACGCGCCAAAAGAGCCCAAAUCCGGUAACGAUAACAAAGCGGCGGAGACUAAAAGCAAACUUACAGCCAAAAAGACGCAUCGCAUCGAAGCCGCACUGUGGCGGUGGAUCGAUCAUUCUCGUGAGAGCGGCAUCCGCGUGGAUGAAUCGACGGUUCGUUCAAUCAGAGCGAACACGGACUGGUUCACCCGCUUUAAAACACGAGAGGGAAUCGUACGAGCGAUGUUCCGGAUCGGCCCAAAUAAUCGAUCUUCUAAUAAUAAGACGGUAGCACAACUGGUACCAAGGAUGGAUUUCACAUCUACAAAGACUCGACAACUUGAAGCCGCGCUUUGGAGAUGGAUCGAUCAUUCUCGAGAGAACGGUGUUAUUACAGAUCAAAUGAUUCGUUCAGAAGCGACUCGGUUGGCUAGGAUGAUGGGGUUCGGGAACUUUCGAGCAAACGCAGACUGGCUCAACCGAUUUAAAACCCGUGAGAAAGUUGUACGAGAGAUGCUCGAGUUCGAACAGUAUUUAGAAAAUCCACAAAGCGACCAAACUGAGGACAGAAGUGCGUCUGAUCAAGUUACCCAACAAUCUGACGAGAGCGUAACGGAGCAGUCCAGCGAUGAAAGUGACGCACUAACGGAUCUGGACAUCCCGAAACUCGAACCGACGGUGGUCUCGGCUGAGCUCAACGGUGAUUUACACACGGUCACUGUACCUUCACUGUGGCAAAUGAAGGAGGCUAUGAAAACACUGGCUACCGGGUUACUGUACAGAGGAUUCUGCGACUUUGAACUUCUUCAUCAAUUUGAAAAAGAGGUUAACACUGUUUUGAGAAGAUCUGUGGCCCUAAGAACGCACAGCGGCUCUCAAGCAUAA
ensembl:lncRNA